rnacentral:rRNA from 1 species
UGCAGUCGAACGAUGAUCAGGAGCUUGCUCCUGUGAUUAGUGGCGAACGGGUGAGUAACACGUGAGUAACCUGCCCCUGACUCUGGGAUAAGCGUUGGAAACGACGUCUAAUACUGGAUACGACUGCCGGCCGCAUGGUCUGGUGGUGGAAAGAUUUUUUGGUUGGGGAUGGACUCGCGGCCUAUCAGCUUGUUGGUGAGGUAAUGGCUCACCAAGGCGACGACGGGUAGCCGGCCUGAGAGGGUGACCGGCCACACUGGGACUGAGACACGGCCCAGACUCCUACGGGAGGCAGCAGUGGGGAAUAUUGCACAAUGGGCGAAAGCCUGAUGCAGCAACGCCGCGUGAGGGAUGACGGCCUUCGGGUUGUAAACCUCUUUUAGUAGGGAAGAAGCGAAAGUGACGGUACCUGCAGAAAAAGCACCGGCUAACUACGUGCCAGCAGCCGCGGUAAUACGUAGGGUGCAAGCGUUGUCCGGAAUUAUUGGGCGUAAAGAGCUCGUAGGCGGUUUGUCGCGUCUGCUGUGAAAUCCCGAGGCUCAACCUCGGGCUUGCAGUGGGUACGGGCAGACUAGAGUGCGGUAGGGGAGAUUGGAAUUCCUGGUGUAGCGGUGGAAUGCGCAGAUAUCAGGAGGAACACCGAUGGCGAAGGCAGAUCUCUGGGCCGUAACUGACGCUGAGGAGCGAAAGCGUGGGGAGCGAACAGGAUUAGAUACCCUGGUAGUCCACGCCGUAAACGUUGGGCGCUAGAUGUAGGGACCUUUCCACGGUUUCUGUGUCGUAGCUAACGCAUUAAGCGCCCCGCCUGGGGAGUACGGCCGCAAGGCUAAAACUC